rnacentral:rRNA from 1 species
CCUACGGGUGGCAGCAGUGAGGAAUAUUGGUCAAUGGGCUUACGCCUGAACCAGCCAAGUCGCGUGAGGGAAGACUGCCCUAUGGGUUGUAAACCUCUUUUGUCAGGGAGCAAUUGGCGCUACGUGUAGCGUUCUCGAGAGUCCCUGCAGACAAAGCUUCGCCUACCACGUUGCCAGCAGCCGCGUUAAUACGAGGGAUGCGAGCGUUAUCGGGUUUUGUUGGGUUAAAGGGUGCGUAGGCGGAAUGCCAAGUCAGCGGUAAAAUCGCGGGGCUCAACCUCGAUCCGCCGUUGAAACUGGCGGUCUUGAGUGGGCGAGAAGUAGGCGGAAUGCGUGGUGUAGCGGUGAAAUGCAUAGAUAUCACGCAGAACUCCGAUUGCGAAGGCAGCAUACCGGCGCCCAACUGACGCUGAAGCACGAAAGCGUGGGUAUCGAACAGGAUUAGAUACCCUAGUAGUC